rnacentral:rRNA from 1 species
AGCGAACGCUGGCGGCAGGCUUAACACAUGCAAGUCGAGCGGGCACUUUCGGGUGUCAGCGGCGGACGGGUGAGUAACGCGUGGGAACGUGCCCUCUGGUUCGGAAUAACUCAGGGAAACUUGAGCUAAUACCGGAUACGCCCUUUUGGGGAAAGGCUUGCUGCCGGAGGAUCGGCCCGCGUCUGAUUAGCUAGUUGGUGAGGUAACGGCUCACCAAGGCGACGAUCAGUAGCUGGUCUGAGAGGAUGAUCAGCCACACUGGGACUGAGACACGGCCCAGACUCCUACGGGAGGCAGCAGUGGGGAAUAUUGGACAAUGGGCGCAGGCCUGAUCCAGCCAUGCCGCGUGAGUGAUCAAGGCCUUAGGGUUGUAAAGCUCUUUUAUCCGGGACGAUAAUGACGGUACCGGAGGAAUAAGCCCCGGCUAACUUCGUG